rnacentral:rRNA from 1 species
GACGGAGGGUGCUAGCGUUGUUCGGAAUCACUGGGCGUAAAGGGCGCGUAGGCGGCCUUGCAAGUCGGUUGGUGAAAGCCCGGGGCUCAACCCCGGAGGUGCGGCCGAGACUGCAGGGCUGGAGUCCGGAAGAGGAGAGUGGAAUUCCUGGUGUAGCGGUGAAAUGCGCAGAUAUCAGGAAGAACACCCGUGGCGAAGGCGGCUCUCUGGGACGGUACUGACGCUGAGACGCGAAAGCGUGGGGAGCGAACAGG